GUUGAAGCACUGGUUCCUGUAUGAUCACCAAAGUUAAGCAAUGUUGAGCUUGGUCAGUACCUAGAUGGGCGACCACUUGGAAAUACCAAGUGU